AAGAAGAAGAAGAAGAAAAAGGAGAAGACAUAAGACUUUACUAAGUUUCUGCAUCCAACAUUUUCUUAACAGGAUUUUCGUGUUUCAUGUUAUUGAUUUUGUUUAACGCUAAUGUAGAUCACUUGCUUUUAAGUUAAAACUUAGCAACUUCUUUAAGCCAAGAAUAACCAUCAACCAUGCAGAAUAGAGUGUCUUAUAAAUCAUAUCCACCAAAAUAGCUUGCAGUUAACCAACACACAGGAAACUAAAAGAUCUUGAAGCCCGCCAGCCACCAAACCCAAC
rnacentral:misc_RNA from 1 species